rnacentral:rRNA from 1 species
AUUGAACGCUGGCGGCAGGCCUAACACAUGCAAGUCGAGCGAGCGGCGGGCGGGUGAGUAAUGUAUGGGGACUUCCCGAUAGAGGGGGAUAACAACUGGAAACGGUAGCUAAUACCACAUACUAUCGGAUAACCCAUAUGGGAUUAGCUAGUAGGUGGGGUAAUGGCUCACCUAGGCGACGAUCCCUAGCUGGUCUGAGAGGAUGAUCAGCCACACUGGGACUGAGACACGGCCCAGACUCCUACGGAGGCAGCAGUGGGGAAUAUUGGACAAUGGGCGCAAGCCUGAUGCAGCCAUCCCGCGUGGAUGAAGAAGGCCUUAGGGUUGUAAAGUACUUUCGGCCGGUAAGCGGUACCUGCAGAAGAAGCACCGGCUAACUCCGUGCCAGCAGCCGCGGUAAUUC